UAUGUUCCCAAAUUGGGAACAAAGGGUGAGGAUUUCUUGUUUUUCCUCAGGAGGCUGAUCUCAUGUUUCAUUACUCAGGGCCCACUUUCAAUACGGCUUGUAAAGUAAUUUAAACCAGAGCCUUUGCUGUAUGUUUUCCUGGAGGGAACUCGGUUUUCUUUAACCAAAGGGAAGCCUGGAACAAGCAUCUCAAGGGACAAAACUACAUAAGAUAAUUUCCGCACAUACAUUGUAUGGCAGGCAACAAAUUCUUUAUUAUCAAAGGUGGAAAAUAGCACUCUUCAAAAGCGAGACAGAACUGGAAAUGAAAUGAAGACAUGGAAUUUAAGAGACGCUUUUGUACAGCAGCCCAAAAGUAAGUAAGUAAAUAAGGUGGUAGCCCAUUUAAACUUAAUGGACUGGAACCGACUUCACCU
rnacentral:lncRNA from 1 species